ensembl:lncRNA
UUUUCUGACAAAGUCUUUACUUAUUUAUAUUCACUUUUGAAGGAUAAUUUCACUGAAUACAGAAUUCUGUGUUGGGUUUGUUUUUCCUUUCAACCUGUUAAAGAUUUCUCUCCACUCUGUUCUUGCUUGCAUGGUUUCUGAGAAGCCUCAUGUAAUUCUUAUAUUUGUUCCUCUGUAAAGAAGGUAUUUUUCCCCUCUCUAGCUUCAUUCAUGACUUUCUCUUUUUAUUUGGUUUCCUGCAGUUUGAAUAAAUUUCAUAUUCCCACUCUCUGACCCCAAAAGCACUCCCUCCAGGAUCCCCUUAUCCUUCCCUCUGGCCUUAUGGGGACCUCCAGCCUGGCCUUCUUCUCUACUUCUCUGCCAAUCACUCCACUCUUCAAGUCUUUCCUUGCUCAACUUAGAUUCCUCUAGAAGCCACUUGAGCAACUCUCGCUAGUGUCUGCUCCUCUCUUGCUUGCCAAGCCAAACUCCAACCUGGUCAACCCAACUCUCUGCCCAAAGCCUGCUGCUGAGCCCGGCUGGAGGGCAGCCCACCACCAAGGAGGCCCCCACCACGCCUCUUGGGGUCCCUAGAACCUCAUGGGCUCCCACCACAGAAAUUCUUCCAUGUCCCCUGGUCAGUGUUCUUCCUGGUUCCCACGGCAACAGCUACCCUUUAGACUUGCUCACCUUUCUCCACUCUCCUUAAACCUCUGGUCCCAUUACUUCCUCUCCCCCCAGCUAUUCACUUCACAUCUACUUCCCAUACACACUCAUACUAACCCCCAAAUACCUGAAAAAUUCUUUUUACUCUGAAAUGUUUCAAACAUCCAGAAAAGUACAGAUACUGGAAGAGCAAACACCCACGUGUCCUGUACCUAAUGGUGUCAAAUUACCUUCUGACCCCAAACCUGCAAACAUACCUGCCCACCCCAUAGAAGUUAAGGGUCAGACUGCCUGGGAUUAAAUCUUGAAUCCACCACUUACUUAUCCUCUCUGUGCUUCAGUUUCCCCUGCUGUCAAAAGCUGGAAAUGAGAUGCCCACCCCAUAGGGUGGGGGCCGGGGAGUGAAGGAACAUAUGUGCAGAAUGUUUCCCACCGUGCAGGGCACAUAGUGAGUGCUCAGUGAAAGCCAGCUCUUAUCGGUUCAUCCUCCCUCUUGACUCAGCGGAUGAGAGAAUCUGCUGUAAGUUUAACCCCUUGGGCAGAGUUCCAGAUUCUUCCCCUCCCACCUACUCAGGAAUGGCACUCCUGAUUAACACCUCUCUACUGGCUGCUAGAAUUGACAUCAAACAGCCUUGCUCUCUUUUAAAACACACACACACCCCUCUCAAUAUGCCAGAUACCCUCCAGCUACCGCCCUCUCUGCUCCCUACUGCCUUUCAUAGCCAAACUUCAGGACAGAAUUGCCUGCACUUGUCCUUCCAUUUCCUCCCCUCCCACUCACCCCUCAGUGGCUGUAAACAGCCUUUCAGCUUCCCCUCCACCAAACCUGCUCUUCCUGAUAGCACUGAGACGUCAUCCAGGGGGCAUAUCUCAGUUCUCAUCCUUUGCGGACCACACGUCCACAGCAGGAUUUGACCUCGUUGACCGCUCCCUCCUCCUUGAAAUGCUCUCCCAGCCCCCCUCACCUCAGGGCCACCUCCCUCUGCAUUGCCUCACACCUCUCUGACCCCGGUCUCACAGGUGUUGCCCUGGGGCCCUCCUUGGCCCUCUCUUCUCUCCCUCUCUUCUUGAACCAUCUUACCCACGCCUGUGGCUUCACUUAACACAAGAUGCCAAUAUCCCCAAUUUACGUCUCCAAUUCCAGCUUCUUUAUUGACUUUUCAGAUCCAUGUAGCAAUUGCCUGCUGGACAGCUCCUCCUAGAUGUCUCAAAGACACUCAAAUUUGACAUGAUCAAAAUGGAGCCAAUGGCACAACCACUUUGGAGAACUAUUCGGUGGCAUCUUCUAAAGCUGAACAUAUGCACACCCCGUAUACUUCCACGUAUUUAAAAGUCAACAAUAUCCAAAACUGCACAGUGGUGCGAGGAGUUAAGACAGUGCUCACCCUUGGGGAGUAGUAACUGGAAGGGAGGAUGAGGGGGCUUCUCAGUGCUGGUGAUGUUGUUUCUCAACCUGCUUCUCACCUGGGUGCUAGUUACACAGCUGUGUUUGGCUUGUGCAAAUUCAUUGAUUAUGAUUUACGCACUUUUCUGCCCAUAUGUUAUACUCCAAUGAAAAAUUAAAACAAAACAAAACAGGACGCAUCCUCUUCCCCAUCAAGUGCCCCCUCUCCCUGGUGUUCUUUCUCUCUCAGAGAAUAGUCUCAACUUCCCACUCAGUUGCCCAAGUCAGAAGCUUGGGGGUAUUUCCCCACUGGGCUCCUUUCCUUAUCACUCACAUCCAAUCUAUUCCCAAAUGCUAUCACUCCGACCUCCUUACUAUCUCUCAAGUCCACUCACUUCUCUCCACCCUCGCUGACUCUUCUCAACCCAGACCCAAUUCCUCUCUUGCUUGGACUUCUUCAGUAGCCUCCCAGCCUCCAAUCUUGUCCGCUCUGAUUCAUCCCCACACAGCAGCCAGAGGGACCCUUCUAGAAUGAAAAUCCACUCACGUCUCUCCCCUGAUUAAAAUCUUUCAGGGGUUCCCUAUAGCCUCUAGAUAAAGUUCAUUCUCCUGCUUUGGGGUUCCAGGGGCUCUGUGUUCUGGGUCCCACCCAGACUCCACUCCUUCUUUACCCUUAGCCACCCCUCCCCCAGUGCUUUGCCCCAGGCAGUCCUAUGAGCCACAGCUGGGAACCCCCUCCUUCCCCUCAUCCCUGCCUUUCCUGGCCAAGACCCACACAUCCUUCAGGCCUCAGCUCAGAUAUCCUCCUGCUUCUGUGAUGGGUCCAGGCCUCCUUGGGCUGUCACAGCAGCAUGUGCUGCCCCAUCCUAAUACACAUCACACCAUAGUGAAACAGGCUGCUUAGAUGUCCACUUCCCCACUGGACCUCGGGCUCCAUGGUGGAAGGCAUGCUGCCUGUCUUGUUCAUCACUCCAUCCCAAGCACCUAGUAUAGGAGAGGCUCAGGAAAGAUUUUUUGGAUGGAUGAAGGACUGCAGAAGCUGUCCAGGCUGCAAAGUGCUGGACGCCCGGGAUUUGUCUCCAAGAGAGCUGGCGAGAAGGUAGAGGGGAGUUCCCCUCAAGGGACCAGAGUCCUAGAAUUUAGAAUCCCAGAACAUCAGAGCUUGAAGGGACAUCAGAGGCCAGCUAAUAAUCCACUUUCUGAUUUACAAAUGAGAAACCUAAGGGAAGGAGCCACUGGCUGGACAAGGAUGGGUGGGAGGAGGAAGAGAUGGUAGCUGCAGAGCAAGGUGCAGUGGGUGGCACUGGUCCCAUUGCAUCCUCCAGCAACCUCACCACCCUGAGCCAGCAGUGGCUCCAGUCCUGCUGGCCUGACGGGCCCCUCUGAGGCGACUCAUGGCCCCAUCUGGAAAGCUGCUCCUGCUCCCACCCUGGAGUGGGACACCUCGAUGCUGGCGCCUGCUCCAUGCCUCUCCUUUUCCUAAUCCUGCAAGCGUGCUCAGCCAAGAUGAUCCAGCCCUUCUCCAGUAUUACAGAGUCUCAUUUAUUCAUUCAACAAACAUCUAGUAAGCACUGAGGUUGUGUGUGUCAGGAUUGGCACUAGGUAUCUGGAAGGUGGUUGAGAAGUGGACAGAUACAGCUCCCGGUGUCUUGGAGGAUGCAGUGCAAUGGGG